GGCGCGGUAGCCAAGUGGUAAGGCACGGGUCUGCAAAACCCUUAUUCGUCGGUUCGAUUCCGACCCGCGCCUCCA
rnacentral:tRNA from 1 species